rnacentral:rRNA from 1 species
AGCGAACGCUGGCGGCAGGCCUAACACAUGCAAGUCGAACGAACCUUUCGGGGUUAGUGGCGGACGGGUGAGUAACACGUGGGAACGUGCCUUUAGGUUCGGAAUAACUCAGGGAAACUUGUGCUAAUACCGAAUGUGCCCUUCGGGGGAAAGAUUAAUCGCCUUUAGAGCGGCCCGCGUCUGAUUAGCUAGUUGGUUGAGGUAAUGGCUCACCAAGGCGACGAUCAGUAGCUGGUCUGAGAGGAUGAUCAGCCACAUUGGGACUGAGACACGGCCCAAACUCCUACGGGAGGCAGCAGUGGGGAAUCUUGCGCAAUGGGCGAAAGCCUGACGCAGCCAUGCCGCGUGAAUGAUGAAGGUCUUAGGAUUGUAAAAUUCUUUCCCCGGGGACGAUAAUGACGGUACCCGGAGAAGAAACCCCGGCUAACUUCGU